UCCGAGUUGACCCCGGCAGUCUCCCAUGAGUCCCCGGCAUAACCCGCUGGCAACAUGGAACGAGGGUUGCGCUCGUUGCGGGACUUAACCCAACAUCUCACGACACGAGCUGACGACAGCCAUGCACCACCUGCACACCAGCCACAAGGGAACCGACAUCUCUGCCGGCGUCUAGUGCAUGUCAAACCGGAGGAAGGUGGGGAUGACGUAUGCGUAACAGAA
rnacentral:misc_RNA from 1 species